UCAGCAAGUAGAUUAACGUUUAAAUUUGUGUCGUGGAACUUUUUUUUAUUGACAUGAACUUGUUAUUUUAGCCAAAAUAAAUACUACAAUGCGUGAUUCGAAUUAUUAUUUGUAGAGGUCGAUAUGUGGAAGUGGCUUUGUGUGUUUUCUUCUGUGACGGUGCAAAUAAUAUGUGGAAAACUGGUUGGUGACCACAUAUGUCGUACGGAAGAAAGUUAUACAGAAAAUGUUACCGAGUACUAUGUCAGAAGCGCUACCGUGAGAAAUUACAAAUGGUGUCUGAACGUUCCUCCUCGAUGCUCUUACUAUACCAUUAAAAAAAAUAACGAUACACGGAUAGC